CAGUGCGGCGCGCCCAAUCGGGACGAAGUCUUGGCUGGCCCCCGGGCUCUCGUGGGCUCACUCGCUCUAGGGAACCGGCACCAUGGCGUCGGGCUGCAAGAUCGGCCCGUCCAUCCUCAACAGCGACCUGGCCAACCUGGGGGCCGAGUGCCUGCGCAUGCUGGACUCGGGGGCCGACUACCUGCACCUGGAUGUAAUGGACGGGCAUUUUGUUCCCAAUAUCACUUUUGGUCAUCCUGUGGUUGAAAGCCUCCGAAAGCAGUUAGGCCAGGACCCUUUCUUUGAUAUGCACAUGAUGGUGUCUAGACCAGAACAGUGGGUAAAGCCAAUGGCCGUGGCAGGUGCCAAUCAAUAUACCUUUCAUCUUGAGGCAACUGAGAACCCGGGGGCUUUGAUUAAAGACAUCCGGGAGAAUGGGAUGAAGGUCGGCCUUGCCAUCAAACCAGGAACGACAGUUGAAUAUUUGGCCCCAUGGGCUAAUCAAAUAGAUAUGGCCUUGGUAAUGACCGUAGAACCUGGGUUUGGAGGGCAAAAAUUCAUGGAAGAUAUGAUGCCCAAGGGAGAAGACUUCAUCAGAAAGAUCUUCUAUCUGGUAUGUUCACAACAGAUAUUCUUCUCUCAUCAUCUCUGUCAUUUAAAGAACUCUGAGCCCUGAGCAGAGCAGCUGGAGACUCUUAUUUUCCAAUCUGAAAUGCUUUGAAAUCUAAGUUUCAAAGUCUGACUAUAAGAGGAUAGGUGUCCUUGCAAGAAGCCAGUGGACUUGUCCACUCCCAGUACCAUGUGAAAACCUAGCUAGAAGACAAGUGUCAUGUAUGAAGACAUUUCCAAGAAUUCAAUCUGUAAGUUCUUUGACCUGAAGACUCCCUACCCUCCAGAAAUACAAGUAGUAAUAUCUCUGUAGUUCAUACAUUUCCUGGUCUAAAAUGUUUCCUUAUACCAGCCUGAACAAUAAGUAUCCUUGUCUUGUUCCUUAUCUUAAAGGAAAGCUUGCAAGUUUACUAUUACUAAGAUAUUACCUGGGAGCUUUUCACAUGUAAAUUGUAUGAUACAUUUCUUUGAUACCUAAAUUGGUAAUUUUAACCAAGAAAGAAUGUUGAAUUGUUUCAGUUUUUUCCCAUUUAUUGAGAUGAUCAUGUAAAGUUCUGUUCUUGUUCUGUUAGCAUAAUAUAUUCAUCAAUUUGCAUAUUGAAUCAUCUUUGCAUCCAAGGAAUAAAUUCCACUAAAUAAUGGCUCAUGAUUAUUUUAAUUGAUGAAUUAAAUCCUUUAACUGAAUUAUUUUUGUAAAGGGUUUUGCAUUUAUAUUCAUUACAGAUACUGGCCAUUGUUUCUGUGCUGAUCUUUAUUAUUUCUUACCGUACAAUAACAGGGCUAAUUUAUUCUUUUCUGACUUCCUUAUAUCUUAACAUUACUUCACAUACUUUUUUGUAAUGUAGGCAUUUCUACAAGCCUCCUUAUUAAUAACAGCUUUUGCUAUAUUCUAGUAUGUUGUUUUCCACUUUACUUUCUCUAAUGAUAUUUUACAAUUUCUCUGUAAAUUCAUUCAUUGAUCUAUUGGCUUUUUAGGAAAAACGUUUAAUUUCCAUUUAUUUGCCAAUUUUCCCAAACUUUUACUCAUUUCUAGUUUCAUUCCAUUUUAAAUGUAAAAGGUUCAUGAUGCAAGUUUUUUGUUUAGUUUAUUACUCUUUUGUCUAUAAAUGUGUGACUUCAGGCACCACAUGCCAUAAAGAACAAGUGGAAGCCAGAGACAACUUGUGGAAGGCAGGAGUCAGUUCUCUCCUUCCACUGUGGAUUUCAGGAACUGAACUCAGGUUGUGAGGCUUGCCAGACAAGCACUUCUGCCCAGGAAGCCAUCUCACUGGCCUUACAGAUACAGUUUAAGUCAAACUUGUUAAGGUUUAUUUUGUGUACUAUCUAUAAUGUGCCCUAGAGAAUGUUUCUUGUGUGCCUCAAAAGAAUGGACAUUCUGCUGCUGUUGAAUAGAAUGGUCUGUUAGGUACAUUUGAUCCAAAGUGGAGCUCAAGUCCAGUGCUGGUUUUUAGAUAGUCUAUGUGGAUGAUUUACCUACUGUUGAAUGUGACUUAUUAAAAUCUAUUGUUACUUAA